rnacentral:rRNA from 1 species
UACGUAGGGCGCGAGCGUUGUCCGGAAUCAUUGGGCGUAAAGCGCGUGUAGGCGGCUCGAUAAGUCUGCUGUGAAAGUCCAGGGCUCAACCCUGGGAUGCCGGUGGAUACUGUCGAGCUCGAGUCCGGAAGAGGAGUGUGGAAUUCCUGGUGUAGCGGUGAAAUGCGCAGAUAUCUGGAGGAAUACCGGUGGCGAAGGCGGCAUCCUGGACCGGCAUUGACGCUGAGGAGCGAAAGCCAGGGGAGCAAACGGG